AGUGAACGCUGGCGGUAGGCCUAACACAUGCAAGUCGAACGGCAGCACCGUAAUAGCUUGCUCUUACGGGUGGCGAGUGGCGGACGUGUGAGGAAUACAUCGGACUCUACUUUUUCGUGGGGGAUAACGUAGGUAAACUUACGCUAAUACCGCAUACGACCUACCGUUGAGAGCAGGGGAUCUUCGGACCUUGCGCGAUUGAAUUAGCCGAUGUCGGAUUAGCUAGUUGGCGGGUUAAAGGCCCACCAAGGCGAGGAUCCGUAGCUAGUGUGAGAGGAGGAUAGGCGACACUGGAACGGAGACAGGGACAAGACGACUAAGGGAGGCAGCAAUGGGGAAUAGGGGACAAUGGGCGCAAGCAUGAUCCAGCCAGACCGCGUGGGUGAAGAAGGCCUUCGGGUUGUAAAGCCCUUUUGUUGGGAAAGAAAAGCAGCAGGUUAAGACCACGCUGUUCUGACAGUACCGAAAGAAUAAGCACCGGCUAACUUCGUG
rnacentral:rRNA from 1 species